AGCACCGUAGCGCAGUGGUCAGCGCGCCAGGCCCAUAACCUGGAGGUCGUAGGUUCGAGUCCUACCGGUGCUU
rnacentral:tRNA from 1 species